AUUUUAAGAAUUAUUUUUAUUUUAAUUUCUUUUUUUUUUAUAAUGAGAAUAUUAGUUUUUAUUAUUAGCUAAGAAAAAAUUGUGUAUAAUUAUAGAUUAUUAGUACUGUGAAGGAAUUUAUUAAUAUAGUUUAAAGAAGGGUUAUUUUUCCGUACCUUGUGUAUCAGGGUUUAUUAAAUAAGGGCUUAUUAUUGAGUGUUCUCGAAUUUAGAAGAGCUAUCUUUUUAUAUAUUUUGUUGUUGCAUAAACAUUUAUAAUAUUGGGAUAGGAAUGAAACGUUAUUCGUUUCUAAAUAUAUCUAGUUUUUUAAGAAAUAAAUUCAAUUUGUUUAGUAAUUAUUAAUAAGUUAAAUUUUUAACUUAUUAUUUUUAUUAAGUAAUAUUUUAAGGGAUGAGCUUUAAAAUAGAUUUUUAUAAAUUUUAUUAUUAUUGUUUUUGAUUAGUAUGAUUAGAAGUUUUUUUCUAUAAAAGGAUGUUAUAUUCGUUCAAAAUUUUUAUAUUAUUUUUAUUGGUUUUAAAUGUUUUAUUAAAAUGUGUUUUUAAAUUGUGUAUUUUCAGUAAAUAUGAUUAAAUUAGUAAAAUAUUCUGUUAGAUUUAGUUGAUUUCAAGGUUAUUCUAAGGAAUUCGGCAAAUAAUUUUUCACCUGUUUAUUAAAAACAUGGCCUGUUGAUUAUUUUUUCAGGUCUCGCCUGCCCACUGAGUAGUUAAAGGGCCGCGGUAUCUUGACCGUGCAAAGGUAGCAUAAUAAUUAGUUUCUUAAUUGGAAGCUUGUAUGAACGGUAGGAUGAGAAAAUUACUGUCUCUGAUUAAUUUUUAUUGAAUUUUAUUUUUAAGUAAAAAAGCUUAAAUUUUAUUAAAAGACGAGAAGACCCUGUAGAAUUUUACAUUUGAUUUUAUUAUCUUUUAUUUAGUAUCUUCAGAAAGAUGACAGGGUUCCGUGUUUGGUUGGGGUGAUCGAAAAAUUAGAAUAACUUUUUUUUUAUUAUAACAUUGAUUUAUGAGAAAUUGAUCCAUUGUUUGUGAUUAUAAGAUAAAAUUACCUCAGGGAUAACAGCGUAAUCUUCUUAGAGAGUCCUUAUCGAUAAGAGGGUUUGCGACCUCGAUGUUGGAUUAAAAUUAAGUCCUGGUGCAGAAGCUAGGAAUGUUUGGUCUGUUCGACCAUUAAAAUUUUACAUGAUCUGAGUUUAAACCGGCGUGAGCCAGGUUGGUUUCUAUCUUUAAUAAGGGAAAUAUUUUAGUACGAAAGGACCAAGUAUUUGAUAAUUUAUUUUUAUUUGAAUAUUAAU
rnacentral:rRNA from 1 species